AUGCCCCGUCAGACGUUAGAUGCUGAAAUACCGCCGCCAUUUUGUGUAACAGCUGUCGCUCAGCAAGUAGAUAGUAUAGCUUGCGGACGAGCUUAUUGUGGCUUAUCGAAUUAUUUGCUAAUUGUUCGGUGAUUCGUGUAGCGUGCAAAACGGGACAAUCGCGAAAAUGUAUAAUCGCAGUGUAAUCAGUGGUUUUAAAUUUACGUAGAUCGUAAUUAUUGAUACUUUUCUUGUUCAAUGAUUGCCUAUCCAAUGAUCAACUGUACAAUAGUUCAGCACGUUUACAUUUGAAUACAGAAGGAAACAUUUUGUCUGCAUUCUAACAUGGCUAGAGUUCUACCAUAUGAAAGAGUUGUAGAUGCUGUAUUCAUACAUAGAAAUUCAGCGUUUCAAGAUUGAACUUGUUUAGACGUAAACUAUUGAACUCUCAAAACAUGACUUCUUCAAAAUACAUGACUUCAAAUGUGGACAGAACACAAACAAGCAGAUUGAGAAUAUUACGUGAUGCCACACCAUUCUAAUAGAAGAGUUUGCAGUUUUAAUGGAUAUGUCGGAAUGUGAAAGAUUGCAGUGUA
rnacentral:misc_RNA from 1 species